GGGGAUGUAGCUCAGGGGUAGAGCGCUUGCUUAGCAUGAUUCGAUUCAAGCUUGCAUGAGGUCCCGGGUUCGAUUCCCUGCCUCUCCA